GAUGAACGCUAGCUACAGGCUUAACACAUGCAAGUCGAGGGGCAGCGCAGUGUAGCAAUACAUGGGCGGCGACCGGCGCACGGGUGCGUAACGCGUAUCCAACCUUCCCGUUACUCAGGGAUAGCCUUCCGAAAGGGAGAUUAAUACCUGAUGGUGUUCAAAUUCCGCAUGUUAUUUGAACUAAAGAUUUAUCGGUAACGGAUGGGGAUGCGUGACAUUAGGUAGAUGGCGGGGUAACGGCCCACCAUGCCCACGAUGUCUAGGGGUUCUGAGAGGAAGGUCCCCCACACUGGAACUGAGACACGGUCCAGACUCCUACGGGAGGCAGCAGUGAGGAAUAUUGGUCAAUGGUCGGAAGACUGAACCAGCCAAGUAGCGUGAAGGAUGAAGGUUCUAUGGAUUGUAAACUUCUUUUAUACGGGAAUAAAACCACCUACGUGUAGGUGCUUGUAUGUACCGUAUGAAUAAGCAUCGGCUAACUCCGUG
rnacentral:rRNA from 1 species